rnacentral:rRNA from 1 species
GUGGGGAAUAUUGGACAAUGGGGGGAACCCUGAUCCAGCCAUGCCGCGUGUGUGAAGAAGGCCUUUUGGUUGUAAAGCACUUUAAGCGAGGAGGAGGCUACCGAGAUUAAUACUCUUGGAUAGUGGACGUUACUCGCAGAAUAAGCACCGGCUAACUCUGUGCCAGCAGCCGCGGUAAUACAGAGGGUGCAAGCGUUAAUCGGAUUUACUGGGCGUAAAGCGCGCGUAGGUGGCCAAUUAAGUCAAAUGUGAAAUCCCCGAGCUUAACUUGGGAAUUGCAUUGGAUACGGGUUGGCUAGAGUAUGGGAGAGGAUGGUAGAAUUCCAGGUGUAGCGGUGAAAUGCGUAGAGAUCUGGAGGAAUACCGAUGGCGAAGGCAGCCAUCUGGCCUAAUACUGACACUGAGGUGCGAAAGCAUGGGGAGCAAACAGGAUUAGAUACCCCUGUAGUCC